rnacentral:rRNA from 1 species
CAGCAGUAGCCGCGGUAAUACGAAGGGUGCGAGCGUUAAUCGGAAUUACUGGGCGUAAAGCGUGCGUAGGCGGUGAGUUAAGUCUGCUGUGAAAUCCCCGGGCUCAACCUGGGAAUGGCAGUGGAUACUGGCUCGCUAGAGUGUGUCAGAGGAUGGUGGAAUUCCCGGUGUAGCGGUGAAAUGCGUAGAGAUCGGGAGGAACAUCAGUGGCGAAGGCGGCCAUCUGGGACAACACUGACGCUGAGGCACGAAAGCGUGGGGAGCAAACAGGAUUAGAUACCCCCGUAGUCCCUGUCUCUUAUAC